UGUGUUUUAUUUCAUAUAUGGAAUUUAUAUUGUUGCAUUAUUUUUUUACAUAGUAUAGAUAUUGACAAUCAUUCGCCAUGUGUUGGUGAUAAUGUCAUGUUAUAAAUUAUGUCGUUGUAUUCAGUGUAACAAGUGUAUGCUUAUCUGUAGCGUUAAUUAUUUUGAAGAGAACAUAAAAAGUAAAUGAAUAAAUAUUAUAUUAUAUGA